CCUUUUGCUCGCUGGGAGGCUGGCAGUAAAUCAUGUGUUGGCUUUUUUUCCAUUUUACGUCCAGGAGCAGCUACUUUGAUUAGUUUGAAGCAGAAUAAAAGACCUAUAAAUGGGGAGAAUCCUGAAGAUGUCCUGGGAGAGGGGAAUUCGUGCCCUUAGAAUAGCUGCGUGGAUGAAACAGAGGAUGAAAAAGCUUGAACACAAAUGUCUUGAUAAUAAACACAAAUGUGUUUAUUGCCAUCUAUUAAAGUGGGAUUUCUGCAAUUACAGUAAGAUGCUGCCAAGGAAGAAUAUGUGGAAUACAAGUGAAUGCAGUGCUGAUGAGGGUCCCGAAGUCCCACAAGAGGCAAGAAACAUGUGAGAAUCAUGCGGACGCAGAAGCAGAGCCUCACAGCAGGACUGGGGGUCUCCUGCUCACCCUGCUGGUGCUUUGUUGGGGCAGUGUCCCCAAAUUGCCCUGCUCUGCAGCUCUGGAAAGCAAGCUUCUAAUUGGGAGCUCUGUGAUUUGCCUUUAAAUAGUAGAAGUUGAGCCACUGGUGUGACUGAGGCAGGACACUGAAGCAAAGUGCUCAGCGGGCAGAGCCAUCCAUCCCUGGUGGGCGAGAAAUGAGCGCUGCUGGUGGCAGCCAGAGGAGUGCUGGGGCACUGCUGAGCGGGAGCGAUCUGGGUGAGUAUCUGCAUACAGUGAUUAAAAUAGAUCAAGAAAGUAUGUCUGGGGCCUCUUCCAAAGCUAACGGAAGCCUGUGGGAAAGAGUCUUUCUCUCAGAAUUCUAUGGCAUUGGAUCCAAACCCUGGAAAUACAUCACAGGAUAAUUUGGUUUAGUGGAAGGAGUGGAGAGAUCUAACAAACGGGCAGUUGGGAGCGCGGUGGGGUUUGAGGUGAUGCAGUGAGUGCCUGGCUCACCCAGACCCACCGCUCGGUAAUGUUAAUCCGUCUCUGUGGGCAUCUCUUCCCGGUACGGACAGCAGUGACUGAGAAAUCUCUCUCCCUCACUUCUAUCAGUGUGUCAGCUGCAUUCUCCCCUGCUCUUUCUCUGUGUCUGCAACACACAGAGCACCUGCGACGUCAGCUGGGGUCCCUGUGCUGCUUCAUAACACACCAUAAGGAAAAAAUGUCACAGAUGAAGGCCAGGCAGGCCUCAUUACUGUGACGGUGUAUCAGAUGCCACCAGAGCAAGGGGAACAAACAAGCUUUGUACGGAAUCAGUCUGUUGCAUACCCGCCUCAUUUUUAUGAAUAAUGGGUACGUUCUCAUAGUGUAGCAUGGUAAUUACCUUUUUUUGACUUACUAUAAAGGCUGAAGUAUGUCUGCUGAUGCUGCUUUAUCUGUUCAUUUCAAAUCAAUGGUACUGUGAAAUACAACUUCACAUAACU
rnacentral:lncRNA from 1 species